rfam:Gossypium hirsutum cultivar TM-1 chromosome 17, whole genome shotgun sequence
AUGCCAUGAUGUGGGUACUUUCGUAAUAACUCCUUGAACCACUCUCAUGCCUCAUAUAAAUAUUCUUCGUCAAGUUCCUGAAAUGAAGUCAUUUCAUUUUGGAUCUU